UAGUCCACGCCGUAAACGAUGAGAACUAGAUGUUGGGAGGGUUUGCCUUUCGGUGUCGCAGCUAACGCGUUAAGUUCUCCGCCUGGGGAGUACGCCGGCAACGGUAAAACUCAAAGGAAUUGACGGGGACCCGCACAAGCGGUGGAGCAUGUGGUUUAAUUCGAUGCAACGCGAAGAACCUUACCUGCCCUUGACAUACUCGGAACUUUCCAGAGAUGGAUUGGUGCCUUCGGGAGCCGAGAUACAGGUGCUGCAUGGCUGUCGUCAGCUCGUGUCGUGAGAUGUUGGGUUAAGUCCCGCAACGAGCGCAACCCUUGUCCUUAGUUGCCAGCACGUAAUGGUGGGAACUCUAGGGAGACUGCCGGUGACAAACCGGAGGAAGGUGGGGAUGACGUCAAGUCAUCAUGGCCCUCACGGGCAGGGCUACACACGUGCUACAAUGGACGGUACAGACGGUCGCGAACCCGCGAGGGGAAGCCAAUCUGACAAAGCUGUUCGUAGUCCGGAUCGGAGU
rnacentral:rRNA from 1 species